GAUGAACGCUGGCGGCGUGCCUAAUACAUGCAAGUCGAGCGAACGGACGAGAAGCUUGCUUCUCUGAUGUUAGCGGCGGACGGGUGAGUAACACGUGGAUAACCUACCUAUAAGACUGGGAUAACUUCGGGAAACCGGAGCUAAUACCGGAUAAUAUUUUGAACCGCAUGGUUCAAAAGUGAAAGACGGUCUUGCUGUCACUUAUAGAUGGAUCCGCGCUGCAUUAGCUAGUUGGUUAGGUAACGGCUUACCAAGGCAACGAUGCAUAGCCGACCUGAGAGGGUGAUCGGCCACACUGGAACUGAGACACGGUCCAGACUCCUACGGGAGGCAGCAGUAGGGAAUCUUCCGCAAUGGGCGAAAGCCUGACGGAGCAACGCCGCGUGAGUGAUGAAGGUCUUCGGAUCGUAAAACUCUGUUAUUAGGGAAGAACAUAUGUGUAAGUAACUGUGCACAUCUUGACGGUACCUAAUCAGAAAGCCACGGCUAACUACGUG
rnacentral:rRNA from 1 species